rnacentral:rRNA from 1 species
CCUACGGGGGGCAGCAGUGGGGAAUAUUGCGCAAUGGGCGAAAGCCUGACGCAGCGACGCCGCGUGAGGGAUGAAGGUCUUCGGAUCGUAAACCUCUGUCAGCAGGGAAGAACGGUCACUGUGCUAAUCAGCAGUGAAUUGACGGUACCUGCAAAGGAAGCACCGGCUAACUCCGUGCCAGCAGCCGCGGUGAUACGGAGGGUGCGAGCGUUAAUCGGAAUUACUGGGCGUAAAGCGCUCGUAGGCGGUAUGUCAAGUCAAGGGUGAAAUGCCCGGGCUCAACGUGGGAACUGCCUUUGAAACUGGCAAACUGGAGUGUGUGAGAGGAUAGUGGAAUUCCAGGUGUAGGAGUGAAAUCCGUAGAUAUCACGCAGAACUCCGAUUGCGAAGGCAGCAUACCGGCGCUCAACUGACGCUCAUGCACGAAAGCGUGGGUAUCGAACAGGAUUAGAUACCCGUGUAGUC